GACGAACGCUGGCGGCGUGCUUAACAUAUGCAAGUCGAACGGUGAAGCCCUUCGGGGUGGAUCAGUGGCGAACGGGUGAGUAACACGUGGGCAAUCUGCCCUGCACUCUGGGACAAGCCCUGGAAACGGGGUCUAAUACCGGAUAUGACCUGCUCCCGCAUGGGGGUGGGUGGAAAGCUCCGGCGGUGCAGGAUGAGCCCGCGGCCUAUCGGCUUGUUGGUGGGGUGAUGGCCUACCAAGGCGACGACGGGUAGCCGGCCUGCGAGGGCGACCGGCCACACUGGGACUGAGACACGGGCCAGAGUCCUACGGGAGGCAGGAGUGGGGAAUAUUGCACAAUGGGGGCAAGCCUGAUGCAGCGACGCCGCGUGAGGGAUGGCGGCCUUCGGGUUGUAAACCUCUUUCAGCAGGGAAGAAGCGCAAGUGACGGUACCUGCAGAAGAAGCACCGGCUAACUACGUGCCAGCCGCCGCAGUAACAC
rnacentral:rRNA from 1 species